GAUGAACGCUGGCGGCGUGCCUAACACAUGCAAGUCGAACGGACGGACGAGAAGCUUUCUUGUCUCGUUUUCGCGUCGGGCGGGUGAGUGACAUGUGGGGAACGUAGCUUUAAGACUGGGAUAACUUCGUGAAACCGGAGCCUAUACCCGAUUAUAUUUUGAACCGCAUGGUGGAGAAGUGUAAGGCGUUCUUGCUUCGACUUAUAGAUGAUUCCACUCGGCAUUAGCUGGUUGGUAGGGUAACGGCUGACCAAGGCGACGAUGCCUAGCCGAUCUGAGAGGAUGACCGGCCACACUGGAACUGAGACACGGUCCAGACUCCUACGGGAGGCAGCAGUAGGGAAUAUUGCGCAAUGGGCGCAAGCCUGAUGCAGCCAUGCCGCGUGUAUGAAGAAGGCCUUCGGGUUGUAAAGUUCUUUCAGCGGGGAAGAAGAGAGUAGAAUUAAUACCUUCGCUCAUUGACGGUACCCACAGAAGAAGCACCGGCUAACUACGUG
rnacentral:rRNA from 1 species